rnacentral:rRNA from 1 species
GACGUAGGAGGCGAGCGUUAUCCGGAUUCACUGGGCGUAAAGCGCAUGUAGGCGGAUGUCUAAGUCGUGUGUUAAAGCCCCUGGCUCAACUGGGGGAGGUCACGCGAGACUGGAUGACUUGAGGGCAACAGAGGCACGUGGAACUCCCGGUGUAGCGGUGGAAUGCGUAGAGAUCGGGAAGAACACCCGUGGCGAAGGCGGCGUGCUGGGUUGCAACUGACGCUGAGAUGCGAAAGUGUGGGGAGCAAACGGG